rnacentral:rRNA from 1 species
GAUGAACGCUGGCGGCGUGCCUAAUACAUGCAAGUCGAGCGAACGGACGAGAAGCUUGCUUCUCUGAUGUUAGCGGCGGACGGGUGAGUAACACGUGGAUAACCUACCUAUAAGACUGGGAUAACUUCGGGAAACCGGAGCUAAUACCGGAUAAUAUUUUGAACCGCAUGGUUCAAAAGUAAAAGACGGUCUUGCUGUCACUUAUAGAUGGAUCCGCGCUGCAUUAGCUAGUUGGUAAGGUAACGGCUAACCAAGGCAACGAUGCAUAGCCGACCUGAGAGGGUGAUCGGCCACACUGGAACUGAGACACGGUCCAGACUCCUACGGGAGGCAGCAGUAGGGAAUCUUCCGCAAUGGGCGAAAGCCUGACGGAGCAACGCCGCGUGAGUGAUGAAGGUCUUCGGAUCGUAAAACUCUGUUAUUAGGGAAGAACAUAUGUGUAAGUAACUGUGCACAUCUUGACGGUACCUAAUCAGAAAGCCACGGCUAACUACGUG